CUCCUUCCAGAACAGAAAAAGGGCUUUGAUAAAAUAUUUUUUGAACCAGCUAAAAAGGAAUUUACCUCAACGCUUCUCCAAGACUGACGGGAUGGAAACCACACAGUGGUGACAGUACCAGGCCAUCAUCAUGUUCACCUGGAUAAGCCUGAAGUCGUCGCUCUGUAUGUGUUCAACUUCCUGCGAACCAAAGUGCUCUCACAGUCAGCCAGCCAAGAGCACAAGUUAAAAGCUACACACUCACAUUGAUGUCAUAUGUCAUACCGUUGUUUACAAGAGCAAACUGUGUGUUUACUUUAACAAAAGUAUUAAAGGUCCCAUGAAGUGUCA